AGCAGUAGCCGCGGGAAUACGAAGGGUGCAAGCGUUACUCGGAAUUACUGGGCGUAAAGCGUGCGUAGGUGGUGGUUUAAGUCCGUUGUGAAAGCCCUGGGCUCAACCUGGGAAUUGCAGUGGAUACUGGGUCACUAGAGUGUGGUAGAGGAUAGUGGAAUUUCCGGUGUAGCAGUGAAAUGCGUAGAGAUCGGAAGGAACAUCUGUGGCGAAGGCGACUAUCUGGGCCAACACUGACACUGAGGCACGAAAGCGUGGGGAGCAAACAGGAUUAGAUACCCCUGUAGUCCCUGUCUCUUAUAA
rnacentral:rRNA from 1 species